rnacentral:rRNA from 1 species
AGAACCGGUUGGCCAGCAGCCUUCCCUCAUGGGGGUUGGUGGAAAGCUCCGGGGGUGCCGGAUGAGCCCGCGGCCUAUUCAGCUUGUUGGUGGGGUAUGGCCUACCAAGCGACGACGGGUAGCCGGCUGAGAGGGACCGCCACACUGGGACUGAGACAGGGCCCAGAUUCUUACGGGAGGGAGCAGUGGGGGAAAAUUUU